rnacentral:rRNA from 1 species
CCUACGGGAGGCAGCAGUGGGGAAUAUUGGACAAUGGGCGAAAGCCUGAUCCAGCAAUGCCGCGUGAGUGAUGAAGGCCUUAGGGUUGUAAAGCUCUUUUACCAGGGAUGAUAAUGACAGUACCUGGAGAAUAAGCUCCGGCUAACUCCGUGCCAGCAGCCGCGGUAAUACGGAGGGAGCUAGCGUUGUUCGGAAUUACUGGGCGUAAAGCGUACGUAGGCGGUUAUUCAAGUCAGAGGUGAAAGCCUGGAGCUCAACUCCAGAACUGCCUUUGAAACUAGAUAGCUAGAAUCUUGGAGAGGUGAGUGGAAUUCCGAGUGUAGAGGUGAAAUUCGUAGAUAUUCGGAAGAACACCAGUGGCGAAGGCGACUCACUGGACAAGUAUUGACGCUGAGGUACGAAAGCGUGGGGAGCAAACAGGAUUAGAUACCCUGGUAGUCCACGCCGUAAACGAUGAUAACUAGCUGUUCGGGCUCUACGAGCUUGUGUGCGCNGCUACGCAUUAAGUUAUCCGUCCGUGGGAGGUACGGUCGCGAGAUAAACUACAAUAGAAGUAGACGGCGUGAGACGUGCCGACGGACGACGACGAGGGAGGUUAGG